rnacentral:rRNA from 1 species
CGCCUUAUACUCCUACGGGAGGCAGCAGUGGGGAAUUUUGGACAAUGGGGGCAACCCUGAUCCAGCAAUGCCGCGUGAGUGAAGAAGGCCUUCGGGUUGUAAAGCUCUUUUACCCGGGAUGAUAAUGACAGUACCGGGAGAAUAAGCUCCGGCUAACUCCGUGCCAGCAGCCGCGGUAAUACGGAGGGAGCUAGCGUUGUUCGGAAUUACUGGGCGUAAAGCGCACGUAGGCGGCUUUGUAAGUUAGAGGUGAAAGCCUGGAGCUCAACUCCAGAACUGCCUUUAAGACUGCAUCGCUUGAAUCCAGGAGAGGUGAGUGGAAUUCCGAGUGUAGAGGUGAAAUUCGUAGAUAUUCGGAAGAACACCAGUGGCGAAGGCGGCUCACUGGACUGGUAUUGACGCUGAGGUGCGAAAGCGUGGGGAGCAAACAGGAUUAGAUACCCCAGUAGUCCACGUACCA